GUACGGAUCCUGUGCGACAGAACGCCGUGAACCAUGUCAGGUGGGGAACCAAGCAGCAUUAAGCGGUUUCUUCUGUGCGCCGCAGUCAAUCUGUACGUC
rnacentral:SRP_RNA from 1 species